rnacentral:lncRNA from 1 species
GCAGGCUCUGGAGACCCGCAGGCUCCUGGGCAGAGGGCUGCCUUCUGUGUGGGCUUGCCCCUCGCCACACCUGGCCAGGAGCCUCCCCCAGCCCCGUGACCCUUGUGUCAGAGCCUGGCCAGAUGACAGACAGCCUGGGGUGCAGGCGAGACCCACUGAACUGGUAGCUGAGGACAGGUCCAGGCCCAGUGGCUGGGGGACUUCUCAGAGCAGGUACCACAACAGCUACCCAAGGACUCAGGACUUUUCUCCCACAGCCAGACUUGGUGAUUGCAUGAAGGAGCCCAGCCUCGGAUGACCUUUCCCCGUGACAAGGCACUAGGAGAGCACAGACCUCCCCACACAAACAACUCUUAGGAUGCAACCUGCUUUACAAGAUGGGAAAGACACGAG